UACGUAGGGGGCUAGCGUUGUCCGGAAUCAUUGGGCGUAAAGCGCGCGUAGGCGGUCAGGAAAGUCCGGUGUGAAAGUCAUAGGCUCAACCUAUGGAUGCCGCUGGAAACUGCCUGACUUGAGUCCGGAAGGGGCGAGUGGAAUUCCUGGUGUAGCGGUGAAAUGCGCAGAUAUCAGGAGGAACACCGGUGGCGAAGGCGGCAUCCUGGACCGACACUGACGCUGAGGAGCGAAAGCCAGGGGAGCAAACGGG
rnacentral:rRNA from 1 species